AAACAACAAGCUUUUAUGCAACAGCUGUGACGUACACUCCAGAUACCGAGUUCCAAAGUCAAAUGGAACAGAGUGGAUAAGACAAACAACAACAUCAAAUAACAUAUGGGAUGCUGUAGUGCUUGAAGUCUCAUGACAUCACCUGUACACAACCAGUUAGAAACUUCGGCCCAUCUUCCCAGGACCUCCAGAUAUUCUCUGGUGGGGCAAAAGAGGAUGACAAAGUGGCAGUGCACCAUGGGGAAAGAGGGCACAGAGUCGUUCUGUUCGCCGAGUUCAAGCAAGGUUUUUAAAUAUCUCCUACUGAGUGACCCCUUCUAACUAAACCUGCUGUAGGUAGGUCUCAGGGAAACUGUCCUGCUUUUCUAAUGACUCAUCUUUGAUAGGACUGCAGCAUCUUCGGAGACUGCGCUGCCCACUGCAGCCCCUGCUGCUGACUCACCACGUCUGCACCUGCACACACACAAACUCUACACGCUCCGUCCCAUAGUCUGCCCCCGAGUCACCUCACCUCAUCAACUGCCUUACCAAAAGUAUCGGAUGGACCUCCUUUAUUCCAGAGAACACAGUUCCAAUGCUCCUCAGCUCAGUGCUCACAUUCAUUUGCUCAAGAGAAUCUGAUUCUAUUGGCAGUACUUCAUUAAAAUGACCAAAUGAGCUAUAUGUAUGUAUUUACGCAUCUGUGUUAGCAAUAGGUUCAACUUAAUGUAGCUGAAUGCAUGUGGAUCCAAAUUUAAAAAUGUUUGUGUGGUAAGACAUUUAUAAGAUAUUUAUAUAUAUUUAUAUUUAUAUAUAUUUAAUGUCUUUGUGUUGCUGUACAACUUAUAACAGGUGUUAUUUGAACCUUAUAGUACACAUUUGGAUUGUAUGGGCUGUCUGCAAGUAUAUACUAAAAUAUUAACAAAACACACUUUAUCUACUAUUACUUGGACUCUUUAAAAAUGUGUUUCAUUGAUGCCUAUAGCCAUUUACUGUAGCCAUUUGUCAAUAACUUUUUCAAAAAAAAAUUAUUUGUUCAUUUAUACCUGAAUGUUUACAUUUGCUGCAUUUUCUCAAAAGAUCUUUCUUUUAUGAUCUUUAAUGAUUCUUCUGACUGAACCCAGACUGCUAAAUCUAAAGAUUUGCUUAUCAAAGUGCAGAGAACAAAUGACAGCAGGCUGAGGUUAAUCCGGGCCACAUUCAGCAGACUGGAUAUAUCUCCUGCAAAAGGACAGAAGUCAUAAGGAGUGUCCAAGAGACUGUGGUGGAAAACCCCACAGGGAAUUAUUCUCCUUGGAUGCCCUGUGCCCUUCCCUCCCCACUUCACAUCUCUGUCUAUAGCCCUGUCAUUCUGGAAACAUCCCGACUUUCACGGUAAAUAUCCAGCCUUUCAGCUGAGCUUUAAUUGCGCUGAGACCAAACAUUAAAAAAGAAAGAAAAACGGGAGCGAGAGCGUGCAAGACUUUUUUCUGCUUAAUCCACUUUCAACGUGCAUGCAAAUAGCCCGUCGCCCUUGAGUUUCAAAGUGGGUUCCGUGCUCCUCGCUAAUUAGACAAGCUUCCCCGGCUUCCUCUUCUCUUUCUAAUUAGAAUCUUUAAUAACAAACAAGCGCCGACCUUUACAAAAGGCUUCUCCACAAUCUCCUCCAUUAGUUAAACGGAUGAGGAGGGAAGGGGUUAGAGAACGAUCACCCCCCCACCAGCUCCCCUCCCAUACCCCAACAGCACUGAAGCAUCAUCCAAGAGUCUUGGGCCAUGCCAGUGGUCCACAAUAGUGGCUUCCUGUUGCAAUCUGCACGAGGCGUUGGAUUGAGGGCGAUAGCGGGAGGAAAGCGACAGGACACAAAGACGACAUCGGAGGCGCACAACAAAUACACAUGGUGGCUUUGUUUGCUCUGACAUGGACAAUUAGCCCUCAGCUGCCGGCAUCGCGCAGCCAGGAAGGUCUUAUCUAAUAAAGGCAGGCAAAAUGACUUUUAUUGUUCAGGUAGAUUGCCUCUAAUGAUAGUGCCAUCAGUGUAAAAGGAUAUGAAUAAAAAUGGGGAUGUGAUGGGGGGUGCAGAAGGGGAAGAAAAAGAAAGAGAGAAAGUGGCUCUUCAGUGGAUGGUGGGAGCACGAAAAGACACCAUCUGGGAGCGCUGCAAUCUCUUGAUUAUCUUCCUGUGCUAAUUUUCUUUUCAGUGCAUACAAAUGAUUUACUUUGAGCAAAGGUGAGAAACAUGAGUGCGAUUGAGCCAAAGACGCUGUUUUUUCCCCUCCCCCCUUCUUUUUCACAUCAAAGUUAGAGAAAUAAUGGCUUCUCUCUGAUCUUGUGCAGAAAAGCACAUGUUCCUCUGUGUGUAACGUUUCCACAGUGGGACCGAGCAUGUCGCCAGCUUCCUCUGGGAGCAGCGGUGGCGGGAAAGAAAAGAAGGCGUUUAUUUGCAUGGCACGAAGACAAAUUUGCAGCAUGCUAAUGAACAAAUAUCGAAUGGCGAUGUUAGAGCUGUGCGGACAUCUGGUGCCACGCUGCAUCAGCGAUACAACAACCUGCAAUAUCACAGGAGCCCCGUGUUUGGAAUAAUGGAGCUGCCAGCUUGUGUUGGGCAUUAAAGCUUACGAUCUGAAUGUGCAUGUGUGCAGGGGAGUGUGUGACUCUAAAACAAAUGAGGUCAUAAAAGAAAAUGAACGCAA